CAAUAGCGUAUAUUAAAGUUGUUGCAGUUAAAAAGCUCGUAGUUGGAUUUCUGGUGGGAGCGAUCGGUCUGGCGCUUAGCGCGAGUACUUGCAUCGUCUCCGGCCAUCCUUGGGGAGAGUCUGUCUGGCAUUAGGUUGUCGGGCAGAGGAUCCUCCUCGUUUACUGUGAAAAAAUUAGAGUGUUCAAAGCAGGCUUAUGCCGUUGAAUAUAUUAGCAUGGAAUAAUAAGAUAGGACUUUGGUACUAUUUUGUUGGUUUGCGCACCAAAGUAAUGAUUAAUAGGGACAGUUGGGGGUAUUCGUAUUCCGUUGUCAGAGGUGAAAUUCUUGGAUUUACGGAAGACGAACUACUGCGAAAGCAUUUACCAAGGAUGUUUUCAUUAA
rnacentral:rRNA from 1 species